rnacentral:misc_RNA from 1 species
AAGUCGUAACAAGUUUUCCGUAGGUGAACCUGCGGAAGGAUCAUUAACACGUAACCAACGUUGAAACCUCGUGUCCUUCAUUAUGCUGGUCUGACCCAUCUUCCCCCACGAUCACAACCAUUGCACGAUUAACAUGGAGUGCUUUAGGCAGCACCCACCAUCAAAUGCUUAAAACAACUGUUAACAAUGGAUAUCUUGGUUCUC